CCUACGGGGGGCAGCAGUGGGGAAUAUUGCACAAUGGGGGAAACCCUGAUGCAGCGACGCCGCGUGAGUGAAGAAGUCUUUCGGUAUGUAAAGCUCUAUCAGCAGGGAAGAAAAUGACGGUACCUGAUCAAGAAGCCCCGGCGAACUACGUGCCAGCAGCCGCGGUAAUACAUAGGGGGCAAGCGUUAUCCGGAUUUACUGGGUGUAAAGGGAGCGUAGACGGGAGCACAAGUCUGGAGUGAAAUGCCGGGGCUUAAGCCCGGAACUGCUUUGGAAACUGUGCAGCUAGAGUGCAGGAGAGGUAGGUGGAAUGCCUGGUGUAGCGGUGAAAUGCGUAGAUAUUAGGAGGAACACCAGUGGCGAAGGCGGCUUACUGGACUGUAACUGACGUUGAGGCUCGAAAGCGUGGGGAGCAAACAGGAUUAGAUACCCUUGUAGUC
rnacentral:rRNA from 1 species